rnacentral:rRNA from 1 species
GACGAAGGGGGCUAGCGUUGUUCGGAAUUACUGGGCGUAAAGGGCGCGUAGGCGGCACUGUUAGUCAGGCGUGAAAGUCCUGGGCUCAACCUGGGAACUGCGCUUGAUACGGCAGAGCUAGAGGAUGGAAGAGGGUCGCGGAAUUCCCAGUGUAGAGGUGAAAUUCGUAGAUAUUGGGAAGAACACCGGUGGCGAAGGCGGCGACCUGGUCCAUUACUGACGCUGAGGCGCGACAGCGUGGGGAGCAAACAGG